rnacentral:rRNA from 1 species
AAUGAACGCUGGCGGCGUGCCUAACACAUGCAAGUCGAGCGCGAACGUCCCUUCGGGGGCAAGUAGAGCGGCGAACGGGUGAGUAACACGUGGGAAUCAACCCUUUAGUGAAGAAUACUCUCGAGAAAUCGAGGUUAAUGCUGCAUAAGUCCCUUCGGGGAGAAAGGUGGCCUCUUGCUACCGCUAAAGGACGAGCCUGCGCGCUAUUAGCUAGUUGGUGGGGUAAAGGCCCACCAAGGCGACGAUGGCUAACCGGCCUGAGAGGGUGUACGGUCACACUGGAACUUAGACACGGUCCAG